UACGUAGGGCGCGAGCGUUGUCCGGAAUUAUUGGGCGUAAAGAGCUCGUAGGCGGCCGGUUGCGUCUGCUGUGAAAUCCCGGGGCUUAACCCCGGGCGUGCAGUGGAUACGGGCCGGCUGGAGGCAGGCAGGGGAGAAUGGAAUUCCCGGUGUAGCGGUGAAAUGCGCAGAUAUCGGGAGGAACACCGGUGGCGAAGGCAGCUCACUGGGACGGUAUUGACGCUGAGGCGCGAAAGCGUGGGGAGCAAACAGG
rnacentral:rRNA from 1 species